GAUGAACGCUGGCGGCGUGCCUAAUACAUGCAAGUCGAGCGAAUUGACAGAGGUGCUUGCACCUCUCGAUUUUAGCGGCGGACGGGUGAGUAACACGUGGGUAACCUACCUAUAAGACUGGGAUAACUUCGGGAAACCGGAGCUAAUACCGGAUAAUAUUUAGCUUCGCAUGAAGCAAUAGUGAAAGACGGUUCUGCUGUCACUUAUAGAUGGACCUGCGGUGUAUUAGCUAGUUGGUGAGGUAACGGCUCACCAAGGCAACGAUACAUAGCCGACCUGAGAGGGUGAUCGGCCACACUGGGACUGAGACACGGCCCAGACUCCUACGGGAGGCAGCAGUAGGGAAUCUUCCGCAAUGGACGAAAGUCUGACGGAGCAACGCCGCGUGAGUGAAGAAGGUUUUCGGAUCGUAAAACUCUGUUGUAAGGGAAGAACAAGUACGUUAGUAACUGAACGUACCUUGACGGUACCUUACCAGAAAGCCACGGCUAACUACGUGCCAGCAGCCGCGGUAAUACGUAGGUGGCAAGCGUUAUCCGGAAUUAUUGGGCGUAAAGCGCGCGUAGGCGGUCUCUUAAGUCUGAUGUGAAAGCCCCCGGCUCAACCGGGGAGGGUCAUUGGAAACUGGGAGACUUGAGUACAGAAGAGGAGAGUGGAAUUCCAUGUGUAGCGGUGAAAUGCGCAGAGAUAUGGAGGAACACCAGUGGCGAAGGCGGCUCUCUGGUCUGUAACUGACGCUGAGGUGCGAAAGCGUGGGGAUCAAACAGGAUUGGAUACCCUGGUAGUCCACGCCGUAAACGAUGAGUGCUAAGUGUUGGGGGGGUUUCCGCCCCUCAGUGCUGCAGCUAACGCAUUAAGCACUCCGCCUGGGGAGUACGGUCGCAAGACUGAAACUCAAGGAAUUGACGGGGACCCGCACAAGCGGUGAGCAUGUGGUUUAAUUCGAAGCAACGCGAGAACCUUACCAAAUCUUGACAUCCUUUGACAACUCUAGAGAUAGAGCUUUCCCUUCGGGACAAAGUGACAGGUGGUGCAUGAUGUCGUCAGCUCGUGUCUGAGAAUGUUGGGUAGUUCCCGCCACGAGCGCCAACCCUAUCUUUAGUGGCAUCAUUAAGCUGGUACCUCUAAAGACCUGCCCGGGUGACAAAACCGGAC
rnacentral:rRNA from 1 species